CGACUCCACGCAAGAAAAAAAAAAAAAAGAAAAAAACAAAUCCUUUUCACACAGGAAGAGAAAAUCUAGAGAGAGAAAAUCUUAGAGAGAGACAUACACAAAACAAAGAAACCGGAGAAGUUAGAGAGAGAAAGUCGAAGACAGAGGGAGAAGGCAGGCAUUAAUGGCGGACGGAGGGAAGAAGGAGAGGAACUCGCACGGCGAAGACAGCGUGAAGCUGUUCGUCGGCCAAGUGCCGAAGCACAUGACGGAGGCUCAGCUCCUCGCAAUGUUCGAAGAGUUCGCUCUCGUCGACGAAGUCAACAUCAUCAAGGACAAGGCCACGCGCGCUUCCAGAGGGUGCUGCUUUGUGAUAUGUCCGUCGAGGGAGGAGGCGGACAAAGCGGUCAAUGCGUGUCAUAACAAGACGACUUUGCCUGGGGCAUCUAGUCCGUUGCAAGUGAAGUAUGCUGAUGGCGAGCUGGAAAGACUAGAACACAAGCUCUUUAUUGGUAUGCUUCCAAAGAAUGUUUCCGAAGUUGAAGUCUCUGAUCUUUUCUCUAAAUAUGGGACAGUUAAGGACCUACAGAUAUUAAGAGGUUCUCAGCAAACGAGCAAAGGCUGUGCAUUCUUAAAGUAUGAGACAAAAGACCAAGCUCUUGCUGCCCUUGAAGCCAUCAACGGAAAGCAUAAGAUGGAGGGUUCAAGUGUUCCUUUAGUUGUCAAAUGGGCAGACACAGAAAAGGAAAGGCUAGCUCGGAGAGCUCAGAAAGCUUAUUCCCAGGCUGCUAACGGGCCAAAUGGUGAUUCACAACAUCCUUCAUUAUUUGGAGCCUUACCUAUGGGUUAUGUUCCCUCAUAUAAUGGUUAUGGUUAUCAGGCUUCUGGGACUUAUGGACUCAUGCCAUAUCGCCUACCUGGACUGCAGAAUCAACAAGGUUUCCAAAAUAUGAUCCCACCCAUAAACCAAGGAAAUGCUUUGCAUAGAAUCCCGCCCCGCAAUAUUGCCCCUAGAAAUUUUCCUAUGUCUCCUACGAGUUAUGUGGGCUCUGCUUAUCCUGCAGUUCCAGGUCUUCGGCAUCCGAUGGUGUAUCCUGGAGGAAUAAUGAGCCACCAGCCAUUGAGUUCCCCUGGUUCAGUGUCACCUACAGUUGUGAAUAUUAACCCAGCAACAUCGCCAGGCACUAGUAAAAGUUCUGGGGGUCAGGUUGAAGGUCCACCUGGUGCUAAUUUGUUUAUCUAUCACAUACCUCAAGAAUUUGGAGAUCAAGAGCUUGCCAAUGCUUUUCAACCAUUUGGUAGGGUUUUGAGUGCCAAGGUUUUUGUCGAUAAAGCAACUGGCGUCAGCAAAUGUUUUGGAUUUGUAAGCUACGAUUUACCAGAGUCUGCUGAAUCUGCUAUCAAUAUGAUGAAUGGAUGCCAAUUAGGGGGAAAGAAAUUAAAGGUUCAGCUUAAGAGAGACAACAAACAGAACAAACCAUAUUGAUUUGAAGAUGUAGGGUAAAUGUAGACUCUGCAGCUGUGUUCUCAGUUUUUGCUCCUUUUCUAUUAACUAUCGAAUUACCAGGUAAGAUUGAGGCGUUUUUAGGGGCAGAUGAAAGACUUUGUGGCACCAGUAUUACAGUCCAGAUUUGUCGCUGAUAAAGGCUUGUAAACCUCUUGAAGUGUCAUCAUGCUUGGAUGUGGACCUCUGUAUCUGUCCUGCUAUACUCAUUUGAUAUCUGCAGCUAGCAAAGCUUCAUGGUGCUUCAGCUCGAUGCUCGAUCCCACCAGCUUUCUAUGCUUAACGAUUGGUGCAUCUACCGAGGCCCAACGAUGAAUUCUGACUAUGUCGUCCCAAUGUAUACUUUAUGUUUCAUUUUGUUGUAAGUUUUAUACCAUAUGGAACUCCAGCUGUGCAUCUUCUGAUACAAAAUGUAGAAAUUAAUGCAGUGAGAUCAACUGUAUCUCGACAUUUUUGAAAAUGAAUCCGUUAUAUUUUGUU